UGGGUAAUCUUGUUUGAAGUGCCCAAUCUCAUUGCACUUAUAGCACCUGGCUUCCUUCUUGCUCCUGCUCUUUCGAGACUUUGAUCGUCUCCUUGACUUACCUCUUUCUCUUCCUCUUCCUAAUCUCUCCCCCACGACCAAGUCUUCCUGGAGAGCACCUUCCUUGGUCAACUUCUCUCACUGUUCUUUGACUGCAGCAUCGAGACCAUGUCUUCAUAUUCCAGGGUCUCCUUGCCAUAGAGCAGGAUCGUCACCAAUGGAUCAUAAGAAGGA
rnacentral:lncRNA from 1 species